CCUACGGGGCGCAGCAGUGGGGAAUAUUGGACAAUGGGCGAAAGCCUGAUCCAGCAAUGCCGCGUGUGUGAAGAAGGUCUUCGGAUUGUAAAGCACUUUCGACGGGGACGAUGAUGACGGUACCCGUAGAAGAAGCCCAGGCUAACUUCGUGCCAGCAGCCGCGGUAAUACGAAGGGGGCUAGCGUUGCUUGGAAUGACUGGGCGUAAAGGGCGCGUAGGCGGUUUAUGCAGUCAGAUGUGAAAUCCCCCGGGCCUAACCUGGGAGCUGCAUUUGAGACGCAUAGACUAGAGGUCGAGAGAGGGUUGUGGAAUUCCCAGUGUAGAGGUGAAAUUCGUAGAUAUUGGGAAGAACACCGGUGGCGAAGGCGGCAACCUGGCUCGAUACUGACGCUGAGGUGCGAAAGCGUGGGGAGCGAACAGGAUUAGAUACCCGCGUAGUC
rnacentral:rRNA from 1 species